rnacentral:rRNA from 1 species
AUCUUCGGCAAUGGGCGAAAGCCUGACCGAGCGACGCCGCGUGGAGGAUGAAGGCNUUNNGGUCGNANACUCCUAAAAGAGGGNNNNNAGCGACGGUACCUCUUGAAAAGCACCGGCUAACUCCGUGCCAGCAGCCGCGGUAAUACGGAGGGUGCAAGCGUUAUCCGGAAUCACUGGGCGUAAGGGCGCGUAGGCGGUCUGUUAAGUCCGAUGUUAAAGGCUGGGGCUCAACCCCAGUAAAGCGUUGGAUACUGGCAGGCUAGACGGUUGGAGAGGCGAGUAGAAUUACCAGUGUAGCGGUGAAAUGCGUAGAUACUGGUAGGAACACCCAUGGCGAAGGCGGCUCGCUGGACAACCCGUGACGCUGAGGCGCGAAAGUGUGGGGAGCAAACCGG